rnacentral:rRNA from 1 species
CCUACGGGAGGCAGCAGUGAGGAAUUUUGCGCAAUAGGGGAAACCCUGACGCAGCAACGCCGCGUGAGUGAAGAAGGCCCUCGGGUCGUAAAGCUCUGUCAAGUGGGAAAAAAGCUUACUGGUAAAUAGCCAGCAAGACUGAUGGUACCAUUGAAGGAAGCACCGGCUAACUCCGUGCCAGCAGCCGCGGUAAUACGGAGGGUGCAAGCGUUGUUCGGAAUUACUGGGCGUAAAGGGCGUGUAGGCGGUGUGGUAAGUCAGAUGUGAAAGCCCUGGGCUUAACCCAGGAAGUGCAUUUGAAACUGCCAUGCUUGAGUAUGGGAGAGGAGAGUGGAAUUCCCAGUGUAGAGGUGAAAUUCGUAGAUAUUGGGAGGAACACCCGUGGCGAAGGCGACUCUCUGGACCAAUACUGACGCUGAGGCGCGAAAGCGUGGGGAGCAAACAGGAUUAGAUACCCUGGUAGUCCACGCUGUAAACGAUGAGCACUAGGUGUAGCGGGUAUUGACCCCUGCUGUGCCGUAGCUAACGCAUUAAGUGCUCCGCCUGGGGAGUACGGCCGCAAGGCUAAAACUCAAAGGAAUUGACG